AUACUUACCUGGCAGGGGAGACACCAUGAUCAUGAAGGUGGUUUUCCCAGGGUGUGAGGCUCAUCCAUUGCUCUCUGGGUGUGCUGAUCCCUGUGAUUUCCCUAACUGUGGGAAACUCGACUGUAUAAUUGGUGGUAGUUUUUAACAGUUAAGCAAUUUAAUU